AGAUGUGAGGGUAAUCUGGCUGCAGCAUUUCUUACCCCAUCGACUGGAUGAUUCUGCCAACCUGGCUGGCUCAGAGAGUGUCCCUCCCCUACGGUCCCCUCCAUGUCCCCUCUCUAGAACUUGCCUACCUGGUCAGAGAGAACAAUCAUCCCCAACAGAGGAGGACUGUCCUUCCAUCAAAGAUACCUGAGUAUCUGCACCCCUGCUAGAACCUCCAUACUCAGGAAUCCCAUCCUCCAUGGCCAGUGGCUAGUGUAUGGCUACCUUCGGGCACAUGGGGGAGCUGGUAAGGAUGGUCCUCCAAGCCAGAGAAAUAAGAAAGGGAGACUGAAGUCUGUGGACGGACAUGAUUU
rnacentral:snRNA from 1 species